CCGUUGAAAGCCGCUGAGUCCCGCGAGGACCGUCGUUCCAGUGGCGAAGAUCGUCCCCGUCGUUCGGCCGAUUCUGACGAA
rnacentral:tRNA from 1 species